ensembl:snRNA U6 U6 spliceosomal RNA
GUGCUCGUUUUGGCAGCGCAUAUACAAAAAUUGGAAUGAUACAGAGAAGAGUAGCGUGGCCCCUGCUCAAGGAUAACACUGAAAUUCAUGAAGCGUUCGGUAUUUUU